rnacentral:rRNA from 1 species
UACGAAGGGGGCUAGCGUUGUUCGGAAUUACUGGGCGUAAAGCGUUCUCAGGCGGCUUCUCAAGUCAGGGGUGAAAGCCCAGAGCUCAACUCUGGAAUUGCCUUUGAGACUGAGUGGCUUGAGUACGAGAGAGGUGAGUGGAAUUCCCAGUGUAGAGGUGAAAUUCGUAGAUAUUGGGAAGAACACCGGUGGCGAAGGCGAGUCCCUGGACAACUCCUGACACUGAGGCACGAAAGCUAGGGGAGCAAACAGG